rnacentral:rRNA from 1 species
GAUGAACGUUGGCGGUGUGCCUAAUACAUGCAAGUCGAACGAAGUUGAUAGCGAUAUUAGCUUAGUGGCGAACGGGUGAGUAACGCGUUGGUGAUCUGCCUUGAAGUGUGGAAUAACGUUUCGAAAGGAACGCUAAUACCGCAUGUGCUCUCGAUUUUCAGAAAGUUGAGAGUAAAGGAUUUAUUCGCUUCAAGAGGAGCCUGCGUCCCAUCAGCUGGUUGGUAGGGUAACGGCCUACCAAGGCUAUGACGGGUAGGGGACCUGAGAGGGUGGCCCCCGACAAUGGAACUGAAACACGGUCCAUACACCUACGGGUGGCAGCAGUAGGGAAUAUUAGAAAUGGACGAAAGUCUGAUCUAGCAACACCGCGUGUGCGAAGAAGGGCCUUCGGGUCGUAAAGCACUUUUUGGAAGGAAUAGGAAGGAAUGUACUUCCAGAAUAAGUCUCGGCUAACUACGUG